rnacentral:rRNA from 1 species
AUUGAACGCUGGCGGCAUGCCUUACACAUGCAAGUCGAACGGUAACGGGCCUUCGGGUGCCGACGAGUGGCUAACGGGUGAGUAAUGCAUCGGAACGUACCUUUCAGUGGGGGAUAACGUAGCGAAAGUUACGCUAAUACCGCAUAUUCUGUGCGCAGGAAAGCAGGGGAUCGCAAGACCUUGCGCUGAUUGAGCGGCCGAUGUCAGAUUAGCUAGUUGGUGAGGUAAAGGCUCACCAAGGCGACGAUCUGUAGCGGGUCUGAGAGGAUGAUCCGCCACACUGGAACUGAGACACGGUCCAGACUCCUACGGGAGGCAGCAGUGGGGAAUUUUGGACAAUGGGGGCAACCCUGAUCCAGCCAUGCCGCGUGAGUGAAGAAGGCCUUCGGGUUGUAAAGCUCUUUCGGCCGGGAAGAAAUCGCAUGGGUUAAUACCCUGUGCGGAUGACGGUACCGGCAUAAGAAGCACCGGCUAACUACGUGCCAGCCGCCGCUGUAAGAC